rnacentral:rRNA from 1 species
GCAACGAGCGCAACCCUUAUCCUUUGUUGCCAGCGGUCCGGCCGGGAACUCAAAGGAGACUGCCAGUGAUAAACUGGAGGAAGGUGGGGAUGACGUCAAGUCAUCAUGGCCCUUACGACCAGGGCUACACACGUGCUACAAUGGCGCAUACAAAGAGAAGCGACCUCGCGAGAGCAAGCGGACCUCAUAAAGUGCGUCGUAGUCCGGAUUGGAGUCUGCAACUCGACUCCAUGAAGUCGGAAUCGCUAGUAAUCGUGGAUCAGAAUGCCACGGUGAAUACGUUCCCGGGCCUUGUACACACCGCCCGUCACACCAUGGGAGUGGGUUGCAAAAGAAGUAGGUAGCUUAACCUUCGGGAGGGCGCUUACCACUUUGUGAUUCAUGACUGGGGUGAAGUCGUAACAAGGUAACCGUAGGGGAACCUGCGGUUGGAUCACCUCCUUACCUUAAAGAA